ACCAAGAUUUGAAGAAACCCCACCAUGCAUAGAGAUGAAUGGAACCUGUCUCAUUUUAAGGGCUUCCAUUUUUUUUAUUAUUAUUUUUAUUUUCUUUACUUUUGCAAGGAGACUGAUGAGGAAGGACGUUACACUUUUUGGUUAGGUAUGUGAAAGUGAAACCCACCACUCUCAAACUUUGUACGGGAAUCUAUAUAUAUGGUUGAAUGAGGAGUUGGAAUCCACUUAAAAGAGGGGUUUGAUGUGAAGAAAAAACACAUAGAUUUUCGAAUAGAGACACGAACAUGGCUCCAAAUGCCUUUGAAAACCUCGGCUCCUUUUUCAUACGUGGAAAGAUAAAGUCCACUUGAUUCAAAAAC
rnacentral:lncRNA from 1 species